rnacentral:tRNA from 1 species
GGCGGCGUAGCUCAGUUGGUGAGAGCGUGGGAUUCAUAACCCCAAGGGCGCCGGUUCGAGUCCGGCCGCCGCUA